AUGCCCCACCUUAAGAGCUGUAAUACUCACUGCAAGGGUCUGCAGCUUCAUUCUUGAAGUCAGACCAAGAACCCAGCAAUUCCCAACACACAGGGACCAGCUUCUUUCCUAACUCACUUAGGCUCUUCGUGCUGCUCUGGCAACUAACACCCUUGGCUGCAGGGGCUUGGACACUACCCUUAGUCACUGACAAUUGUGUGAAGGCUGCUGUCGUUAACUUCACUUGAUCACCUUAGGCUCCUGUGAAGUGGUGAGCAAUUCAAACAAAUUCCUGUCGUCAAAUCAUGCAUUCAUGGUCAAUAAUAACGUGUCUUGAAGCUAUAUCUAUAUUUUCAUCUGUCUAUCUCUUAUCUACCUGAAGCACUUCGGAAAUAGAUGAUCUGCUCAAACUUGAUAAGGGUUAGGAGGGAGGACCCUCUUCCUAGUCUUAGAGUCCCAGCUCACCAGGGAAACAUUUCUCCAGGAGGAGUGUUGAUGGUGGGAAGACAGGGCACUUAGAUUUCCGUGCUCUGUGUCCUCUUGGAUGGAACUAUUAUGGCUGACUGCUGGAUUAGACACUCAAAAGUUGGUUGGCUUGUUCUAGAUUCCUCUCCACCAGGUAGUGCUUGAUAGGCAAUGAACAAGUUUGCUUCUGCAAUGCUACGCUGGAGUGCAAUGGCGUGAUUAUGGCUCACUGCAGCCUUGACCUCCUGGACCCAGGUGAUCCUCCCACUUUAGCCUUUCAAGUAGCUGGCAAGGGCAACCCGCUCAGGUACCUUUCCACGCUGUGGAAACUUUGUGCUUUCACUCUUCACAGUAAAUCCUGCUGCUGCUCACUCUUUGGGUCUGCGCCAACUUAAGAGCUGUAACACUCACAGUGAAGGUCCGGGGCUUCAUUCUUGAAGUCAGCGAGACCACGAACCCACCAGAAGGAACCAACUCUGGACACAUCUCCGGACACAAUGAGAUUUGGAUGGGGUCACACGUCCAGAUGAUAUCAUCUUCCCUGUCAGCACAGGGUCAGGCAGGUCCUCUUUCCUCUUCCUCAGAGUAGACUGUUUUCCCUCAUGGUGUUGACCACAUGUGAAAUUAUAUCUCUAUUGUUUUGUCCCUUGUCAGCUUACCUGUUGGACCUAAAUGUGAUUAUAUCAGUUCUGUAUCUGUUUGGGUUCAUGGCUGUUCUCCUGAAUCUAGCACGGGGCCUGAUCGUGUAAUACGUACUCAAGGAAUCUGCAAGUCUGCAGGAAGGUGAAUUGGCUCUCAGGUGUUUUAAGUGAACUGUAGGGUUGAUACAUGGCCUAUAUAUUUACUCCCAGAAAACUAGUCAGCCCACUGCGUUUCAUAAAGGGAAAAGAUGGUCACAGCAGAAUCCCAGCAGAAGCCUGCUACAGGGCUGGUUGUGGAUGUGGGGGCCAAAAGAAAACAAGUUUUAUUUUUAUCACCAGAACAUUCUGAUAAAAAUAUUAUGAGAUUAGCUACCUUUAUUCUCUGGGCCUUGACUCAUUAAGAAGAAAAGAAAGAGCACUUGGAGGUCUGCUUGGAGAUCCCUGAGGUUUUUCACAGGCACAAUGUCCUUAUUUGGGAGCCUCAAAAUACCAGACUAACAUUGCUCAAAGCAGCUUUGGGAAGAGGGCAGGUGUCUGAGAUGCUGAGAGGCCAACUGAGCAGUUUUUUAGCUGGAGCCAUGGGCCACACCAGGAACAAACCACUGGACCAAAUUGACUCAGGACACCUGCUCUGGACCCAGUUUCUUCUCAUGUCUCCUCACCCCUAACUCUGCCCACCACCUCCCACUUCCUCUCUGUUCCCCAUCCCAUCCCAGGUUUGUAUUUAAAUUUCUGCAUAAUGCAUGUUCUCUGCAUGUUCUGAAGUACUUUCCAUCAAGUCCUUCAUUUUAAAAGUGUUUCUUUUAAAUGAAGCUGUGCAUAACCUCUUUUUGAGGCUCUCUUUGGCUUUUCUUGCACAAUUUUAAAUUGACCAGGUCUACUUGCAAAAAUAGAGUCCACCUGUCCCGAGUUGGAAGUCUGAACUCAUGUUCCUGGAUUCCUCCCAUGCAUCUUGGUGCUGGUGUGGGGCCUGAACUCAGCCAAUCCGCAACACCUCCAGGAGUCUUCCUCUUAGAUGCUGAGGCCACGGAGAAGGAAGCAGCACAAAGAAUGAACCCUGGAGAGGGUGCCAGAGGCAGGCGGGUUCCAGCCAUGUGGCGGCACAGCCUUACUGGGAUAGUCUAGCUGUGUCACUCAGGUACGGUUGCUCUCUGAGAAGCCGCCAAACCCAACCCUUUCACACACACCUAGGAUGCACGGGGGAAGAAGAGCUCACGGCAGGCGCCAUCUCCAGAAAGGAUCCACUGCAGGUGGUUGGUGAGUCCAGAUGGCUCCCCCAGAUGACACUGCUGGGUGGCAACCUAAUUAUUUUUCAUUAACUUUUAAUUAUGGAACAUUUCAAACGUGUGCACAAUUAAAGAGAGUCGUACAAUGAACCUCGUGUGUCCGAAACUCAACUUCGACAACGAUCAACUAAAUGCCCAAUCUUGUUUUAUCUGUAUCUCCACACACUUCCCCCUCCACAGACUACGACAACGUGCCUAGGCCCAUCAGAGUCUGCCCUCCACCCACCUUCUCAGCCUCCUCUAUGAUCCUCUUUUCCCAGCCUGAAGCUCACGUCUCCUGACUGCUCUGGCCCAGUAUCUGCCACACUCUUCAUGCUUUGGUGCCUUUGUGUCUUGUCCCUCAGCCUGGAAUACCCUUCUCUCUUUCUCCCCUGCAGUGAAUUCCUGCUCAUCCUUCAAGAUCAGUGGAAAACAUAGCUCUUCUUUGAAGCCUUCCCUGACCAGCUCUGAGCACAGUUAGUUGUUCCUUUCCUGGAGGUCCAGUAGGAUCUAGAGUCACUGCCUCCUUGUAGAAAGACCCUUCACAUGGUACCAGAGAUGGUAGUAAACAUGCUUGAGUCAGGAAAGACUUUUCCAACUUUUAUUACUGUACUAAUGCAUUUAACUAACACAGAUAUGGAGACACUGUGUUGAUGCCAGAGUAUCUGUUAUAUCCAAAUAAGG
rnacentral:lncRNA from 1 species